UACGGAGGGUGCAAGCGUUAUCCGGAUUCACUGGGUUUAAAGGGUGCGUAGGUGGGUCUGAAAGUCAGUGGUGAAAUCUCCGGGCUCAACCCGGAAACUGCCAUUGAUACUACAGGUCUUGAAUUUUCUGGAGGAUAGCGGAAUAUGUCAUGUAGCGGUGAAAUGCUUAGAUAUGACAUAGAACACCAAUUGCGAAGGCAGCUCGCUACACAUAUAUUGACUCUGAGGCACGAAAGCGUGGGGAUCAAACAGG
rnacentral:rRNA from 1 species